CUACGGAGGAUGCAAGCGUUAUCCGGAUUUAUUGGGUUUAAAGGGUGCGCAGGCGGCUUGUUAAGCGGGAGGUGAAAUGCCGGCGCUCAACGUCGGAAGUGCCUCCCGAACUGGUGAGCUUGAAUGACUCUGCCGUGGGAGGAAUGUGUAGUGUAGCGGUGAAAUGCUUAGAGAUUACACAGAACACCGAUUGCGAAGGCAUCUCUCGAAGGGUGGAUAGUCACUGAGGCUCGAAAGCGUGGGAGUAGAACAGGAUUAAAUACACUGGUAAGCCACGCCGUAAACGAUGAUGACUAAACGUCGGCGAUAGACAGCCGGUGGCCAAGCGAAAGCGAUAAGUCAUCCACCUGGGGAGUACGUCGGCAACGAUGAAACUCAAAUGAAUUGGCGGGG
rnacentral:rRNA from 1 species